UACAGAGGUCUCAAGCGUUGUUCGGAUUUAUUGGGCGUAAAGCGUGCGUAGGCGGCGAGGUAAGUGAGGUGUGAAAUCCCAGGGCUUAACCCUGGAACUGCACUUUAUACUGCCUUGCUCGAGGGCUGGAGAGGAGACUGGAAUUUACGGUGUAGCAGUGAAAUGCGUAGAGAUCGUAAGGAAGACCAGUGGCGAAGGCGAGUCUCUGGAAAGCUGCUGACGCUGAGGCACGAAGGCCAGGGGAGCAAACGGG
rnacentral:rRNA from 1 species